AGUAAGAUCCCUGAAAGAUGAUCAGGUUGAUAGGUCUGAGGUGGAAGUGUGGCGACACAUGGAGCUGACAGAUACUAAUCGAUCGAGGACUUAACCUAA
rnacentral:rRNA from 1 species